rnacentral:sRNA from 14 species
GAUGGGCAACCUAGUUUUUAUUUAAGGAGAAUUUGUUUAUUUAAAUCAAGGGCAAGCAAAAAUGUAAAAAAAGGGUAUACCCAAAAUAUACCCAAAACCAUCAUUGUAAAUACACUUUUUUCAAUGUAUAGCUAGGGUGGAUAUUAAUUGGUUGUGAAAAGAGUUGCUUUUUAGUCAUGAUAGUAGCAUAUACUCGAGUAAGUUCUACAGAUUAAAAUUU